AGUUCUGUAGCUCAGUUGGUUAGAGCGCUGGUCCGAUGUACUAUUAAGCAAUUAAGCAAUUAAGCAAUUAAUAAAAAAGGACUAUCUAGAAAGCAAUUAUUCUCAAUUAAGUCACGGGUUCAAGCCCCGUCGGGACUA
rnacentral:tRNA from 1 species